GACGAACGCUGGCGGCGUGCUUAACACAUGCAAGUCGAACGGAAAGGCCCUGCUUUUGUGGGGUGCUCGAGUGGCGAACGGGUGAGUAACACGUGAGUAACCUGCCCUUGACUUUGGGAUAACUUCAGGAAACUGGGGCUAAUACCGGAUAGGAGCUCCUGCUGCAUGGUGGGGGGUGGAAAGUUUCGGCGGUUGGGGAUGGACUCGCGGCUUAUCAGCUUGUUGGUGGGGUGGUGGCUUACCAAGGCUUUGCCGGGUAGCCGGCCGGAGAGGGUGACCGGCCACAUUGGGACUGAGAUACGGCCCAGACUCCUACGGGAGGCAGCAGUGGGGAAUAUUGCACAAUGGGCGGAAGCCUGAUGCAGCAACGCCGCGUGCGGGAUGACGGCCUUCGGGUUGUAAACCGCUUUCGCCUGUGACGAAGCGUGAGUGACGGUAAUGGGUAAAGAAGCACCGGCUAACUACGUG
rnacentral:rRNA from 1 species